UGGACAGGGAUAAGGUGCAGGAGAGACCUCUUCACUGGACCAGUAUAAGGAGCAGGAGAGACCUCUUCACUGGACAGGGAUAAGGAGCAGGAGAAACCUCUUCACUGGACCAGGAUAAAAAUCUGUGAAUCAAUCCGUUGUGGUGAUAUGGGUGAUGUGGGUGAUAUGGGUGAUGCCCUUUGAACUCCAGGAAAAGGUUUUCACACACAAGCUCUACAUUAAUGCAGCACCCGCCUGAAAAAUCUGUCCAGUUGACCCACAGAACUUCUGUCAAGAGAUAUAGCACCACAACAACUGCAGAACUUGAUGUUGUGUCCCACACAGACCAGAGGAACAGGGACUUGAGGCCAUGGCAG